rnacentral:rRNA from 1 species
UACGGAGGAUGCAAGCGUUAUCCGGAAUGAUUGGGCGUAAAGAGCGCGUAGGCGGCCCUGUAAGUCCGCUGUGAAAGUCCAAGGGCUCAACCCUUGGAUGCCGGUGGAUACUGCAGGGCUAGAGUGCAGAAGGGGCAACUGGAAUUCUCGGUGUAGCGGAUGAAAUGCGUAGAUAUCAGGAGGAACACCAAUGGCGAAGGCAGCUCGCUGGGACGGUACUGACGCUGAGACGCGAAAGCGUGGGGAGCAAACAGG